UCGAGGCGCUCUCGCCCGCCGUCACCGCGGCCGCGCGGGCGCUCAUCGCGCUGCACGUCACGCAGGUGUUUGUGUGCAGGUCGCGGCGCGGGCUCGCCGCUCGCGCGGAGAUGGGCGCGCGGCUGGUGCGGCUGGCGCCGCUGGCGCCGCUCGCGCCGCUGCUGCGCGACCUGCGCCUGCCGCCCGACUGCGCCGCGCCCGCGCACCGACAGAUCGCUGCGGAGCUGGCGGAGCGCGCGUCGGAGCUGUGCCUCGAGUCGGCGCAGAGCUCGCCGCUGUCGGCGCCGCGCGGCGCCGCCGCCCACUGACCGGCGCGCGCGCAUGCGGGGCCCGGGGCAGUUCUAGAAACUUUUUUAACCCCCGCUCCCACCUCGAAGAAGCGAGAUUUUAAGACCCUUUUUUAACUCUCCUCCCUCGAAGAAAGGUAUUUUAGACCCCCCUCCCCCCCCCUUCCCUGCCCGAAGAAGGGUAUUUUAAGCCUUUUUCUAAACCUCUCUCCCCACCCCUGAAGAAGGAAAGGACAGGGAUGAGGGGUUCUUAAAAAAGUGACACACUGUGACAAGGUUGGCAAAGUGUGUCGGUUUUUAAGAACCAGCCCUUAUCCCGUGAUGUGACGUCACAUUUAUUAAAUUUUAUACUUUUAAAAAACGUAAUAAACAAGUCAUAUUCACAGUCAGAUCCAGUUUGUUUAUUUUUUAUUUGGCAUCAAUUUGCAAGUUGCAUUGUGACGUCACAAACAAUUUAUUAUAACGAGUGUAUUGUAUAUAUUUCGGGUGGUCGCGGGUUCGAUCCCCGUCGGAUUCAAAGCGUGUCGCUGGCCUGGCCAUUGUUAAUCUCUUGUUGCCUAUAUAAAUUAAAAAUAAUUCAAAAUUAAUGUACAAAUUUCUAUUUAAAAUCGUUCGAAAAAUUUAAAAAAAUCCACCAACACAUAUAUUUUUUUUAAAUACAUGUAGAUUACAUAUUUAAUUUUGUAUAAUAAUUCAAAUAUUUAGUUUUAAAACAUUUCAAUAGUUCACACAACACAUUGUAAGAGCGCGUUUAAUCGAAAUGACAUGUCGGUAAACUGAUCACAGAGGGCUAGUUUUGUAAGAGAAAUCUCUAGAAUUCUCUAUAUUAUUCCAAUAAUUAUUAUUUUUCUUAUAAUACGGUCUACAUUCGAUUAAACGCGAUUCAUUGCCUCGGUUAUGUAAUAUUUUUUAGUUGUUUUUUUUCGAUAAGUUCUUGUGCUAUUUUCACUUUACAUGCAUGCCAUUGCGUUUUUUUUUUUUUAUAAAUUUCAUUAAAUUUAUGAAACUUUUGACUGAACGCAUAAUUAACAUUCUGUGAGAUUCCAGAGAAACUCUACUAUAUAAUUUUAAUAUAGAUAGUUGAUUUUUUUUUGUGAUUUAAUGUAAUAAAGAUAUAAUAAAAAAUUGUGUACGUAUCGAACCAAAAGUAGGAGAAGUUUCAUUAGUAGGUAAGUCUAUCAUAAAAGCAAGCGUACACGCGUAAAUAGACUAGUAUAGUCCAAUAAUUUUGUAUUUCAUUUGUAAGUGUAAUUCGUGUAACGAAGUGUCUAUUUUAUGUUAUUUUUUUUUAUUAAAACUACCUACAGUAUGCGAAGGUUUUGGCCAAAUUAUCACAGAUAAUAUUCAUAGACGUAAAUAAAAAAUGUUUU